GACGUAGGGCGCGAGCGUUGUCCGGAUUUAUUGGGCGUAAAGAGCUCGUAGGCGGCUCGUUGCGUCGGCUGUGAAAACCCACAGCUUAACUGUGGGCCUGCAGCCGAUACGGGCGAGCUAGAGUUCGGUAGGGGAGACUGGAAUUCCUGGUGUAGCGGUGAAAUGCGCAGAUAUCAGGAGGAACACCGGUGGCGAAGGCGGGUCUCUGGGGCCGAUACUGACGCUGAGGAGCGAAAAGCGUGGGGGAG
rnacentral:rRNA from 1 species